UACGUAGGUGGCAAGCGUUAUCCGGAUUUAUUGGGUUUAAAGGGUGCGUAGGCGGAUUGAUAAGUUAGAGGUGAAAUGUCCGAGCUCAACUCGGGAACUGCCUCUAAUACUGUUGAUCUAGAGAGUAGAUGCGGUAGGCGGAAUGCGUGGUGUAGCGGUGAAAUGCAUAGAUAUCACGCAGAACUCCGAUUGCGAAGGCAGCUUACUAAGCCAUAACUGACACUGAAGCACGAAAGCGUGGGGAUCAAACAGG
rnacentral:rRNA from 1 species